UCCCUGGUGGUCCAGUGAUUAGGACUUGCCACUUUUACUUCCAAGCCCAGGUUCAAUCCCUGGUCAGGGAA
rfam:TPA: Bos taurus chromosome 24, whole genome shotgun sequence.